CCUACGGGAGGCAGCAGUGGGGAAUAUUGGGCAAUGGGCGCAAGCCUGACCCAGCAACGCCGCGGGAAGGAAGAAGGCUUUCGGGUUGUAAACUUCUUUUCUGAGGGACGAGGAAAGUGAGGGUACCUCAGGAAUAAGCAACGUCUAACUACGGGCCAGCGGCCCCGGUACUACUAAGGUGGCAAGCGUUAUCCGGAUUUAUUGGGUGUAAAGGGCGUGUAGGCGGGAAAGCAAGUCAGAUGUGAAAACUCAGGGCUCAACCCUGAGCCUGCAUUUGAAACUGUUUUUCUUGAGUGCUGGAGAGGCAAUCGGAAUUCCGUGUGUAGCGGUGAAAUGCGGAGAUAUACGGAGGAACACCAGGGGCGAAGGCGGAUUGCUGGACAGUAACUGACGCUGAGGCGCGAAAGCGUGGGGAGCAAACAGGAUUAGAUACCCUUGUAGUC
rnacentral:rRNA from 1 species